CUGAGUGCCCGGUUUCUGUUUUUCUCCCGGUGCAGGAAAACAUGAAGAACGGGGAAAGUAGCUGCCACAUGCCAAUGUGAAACUCCAAGGAAUCUAGCCAUUCUGAUCUGGCCUUCCAGGUCAUUAGGAGGCUCUGCCAUCAUGUGAGGAGGUACUGCCAACAAGAAGGCCCAAUCAUGAUCCUCCCACAACAAGAGCAGACUGUGAGCGUGGCAAGCUCUAUGCUGAGCACUGGAAGGACAAAAAGAGAUUGGGCACAGACUUCUCACUGAUCCAGGUGAUGAGGAGCUCACAUCUGAGAGGAUGUGACCAUGGAUGACCCACCAGAAUGUCAUGGGAUCCAGCUACAGCCAAGGAAGCACAGAGCACCGUGGGAGCGAUUUAUUGUGCGUGGGGAUGGGGAAGGGGACAUGGGAGGAGCCAUAUUGAGAAAGUAACAUGGGUACUUGGCUUCACAGAGUGUGGCAGCUUUCAUCAGGAAGCGAUGGUGGGGGAACAGCGUCUCUGGCGGAGGGAAGCAGCAGGUGCAGAGGUGCAGAGGUGUGAGGAAUCUGUCACAUUCUAGGAAGGGAGUAUGGUUGGGUGACAAUGCAAGACAGAGAAAGCAAGGAGGGAAGGAGGGGCCUAGCCUGAGGAAUAAAGAAUAAUAAAAGCAGGAAAACAAUUGCUAAGAGUUUGGAUACCUUUUUCUGCCCUUUCAUCUAAGCUUUGCUAGCCAGCCAAGAGAAACCUGGCACUUCCCCUCCCCGAGCUUCCCUUGAAAGAGGAAGGGUUAAUUCAGAACAAGACAAAGAAAUGUCUGGGGACCUAAGUGUGAAAAGGAGAGACAGAGUCAGCCUGAAACCUGAAACUUGAGCAAGUAAAGGGGGCUGGAGAGGAGAAGAGCAAGCCAAGGAAGGGACAAGUCAGUAGCUGAAUCCAAUAAAAACUGCCACGUCUAGCCCUGCACUGGGCCUUGGGGCUAUGGAGACAAUAAGACAGGGCUCCUGGCCCUAUGGCUCAUAGGCUGCCUGGAGAGGCGCACAAGGACCCAGGCAAAGACAAACGAGUGGGCUGCGUUCAGUGGCAGCAGAAGGCCAACGGGCUUAGGGAGCACCAGGAGCAUCUGCUCCAACACAGGGUCUGGGAAAAGCCCUCCUAGAAGAGGGGACAUUGGAGCUGGGCCUUAAAAAAUGAAUUGGAGUUUGCUACUUAGACACUGCGGAGCUCUUAAUUCCCUGUAUCCCACCUUGCAUUGUGACUGGCCACACUGUACUGCCGGCCUACGUCUCUCCUUUCUGCUGAGCUCCAUUGGGUGGAAACUGCAGCUGGCUGGUUC